rnacentral:tRNA from 1 species
UGAGAGAUUAGCUCAUUUGGAUAGAGCGUCGCCCUCCGGAGGCGAAGGUGGCAGGUUCGAAUCCUGUAUCUCUCAA